rnacentral:rRNA from 1 species
UACGUAGGGCGCAAGCGUUUAUCCGGAAUUAUUGGGCGUAAAGAGCUCGUAGGCGGUUUGUCGCGUCUGCCGUGAAAGUCCGGGGCUCAACUCCGGAUCUGCGGUGGGUACGGGCAGACUAGAGUGAUGUAGGGGAGACUGGAAUUCCUGGUGUAGCGGUGAAAUGCGCAGAUAUCAGGAGGAACACCGAUGGCGAAGGCAGGUCUCUGGGCAUUAACUGACGCUGAGGAGCGAAAGCAUGGGGAGCGAACGGG